rnacentral:rRNA from 1 species
UGGGGAAUAUUGCACAAUGGGCGCAAGCCUGAUGCAGCCAUGCCGCGUGUGUGAAGAAGGCCUUCGGGUUGUAAAGCACUUUCAGCGGGGAGGAAGGCGUUAAGGUUAAUAACCUUGUCGAUUGACGUUACCCGCAGAAGAAGCACCGGCUAACUCCGUGCCAGCAGCCGCGGUAAUACGGAGGGUGCAAGCGUUAAUCGGAAUUACUGGGCGUAAA